rnacentral:rRNA from 1 species
CGAAUGCUGACAUAAGUAACGAUAAAGCGGGUGAAAAGCCCGCUCGCCGGAAGACCAAGGGUUCCUGUCCAACGUUAAUCGGGGCAGGGUGAGUCGACCCCUAAGGCGAGGCCGAAAGGCGUAGUCGAUGGGAAACAGGUUAAUAUUCCUGUACUUGGUGUUACUGCGAAGGGGGGACGGAGAAGGCUAUGUUGGCCGGGCGACGGUUGUCCCGGUUUAAGCGUGUAGGCUGGUUUUCCAGGCAAAUCCGGAAAAUCAAGGCUGAGGCGUGAUGACGAGGCACUACGGUGCUGAAGCAACAAAUGCCCUGCUUCCAGGAAAAGCCUCUAAGCAUCAGGUAACAUCAAAUCGUACCCCAAACCGACACAGGUGGUCAGGUAGAGAAUACCAAGGCGCUUGAGAGAACUCGGGUGAAGGAACUAGGCAAAAUGGUGCCGUAACUUCGGGAGAAGGCACGC